rnacentral:lncRNA from 1 species
UAGAAAUAAAAAGCAGUUACCAUGUGGUUUCUGACUGUACAUCUAAAGACAAAACAUUUGCGUUUCAAGGUACCCAACUCUACUUGAUUCCUCUCAUUUUCAAUCAAGCGAAAUCUCGAGCUAUAUUGCAGAAAAGCAGAAGAAUGAUGCAUGUAAAUCUUAGUUUUCACAAGGGAACUGAUAAAUGCAUUCAAUAUUUCACCAAAUGCAGUCAACUGUAGAAUACAACUUUUUCUUUAACCUUGCAGUGGAGUACAUCCAGUCAAAAGUGCAGGGCAUUUAACAUCUCCAUUUUUACAAUAGCUUCAGUGCCUUUAUAACAAAAACAAACCAAACUCCAACGGUACUGUUCAUAAAUAACCAAUUAUCUCACCCGUUCAACAAAUAUCACUGUCUGGAAUGCCUUCCACUUUGGUAACAGAUUAGCAUCCUAAAUCAUCAAAUCAACACUUCAAGAAGAAAUGGUAAGACAAGUACUUGCAAGGAAGACAAGUUUUAUCCUAACAACAGAACGUCAAUAAACUGUAACUAUAAUCACUUACUAAAAACAAAAACAAUAAUGCUACAAACACGGUGUGCUUGAAAAAGGAGUAGAAGAUUUACAAAAUUCUCUGGAUAUAUCAUACCUUGUCCUUGUCCUGGAUAUCAGGCAUCGAAAAGCUCAAGUCCAGCUUAGCUACCUCAUUAGGUGGAGACAACUAGUAGCAAGUCAACCAAAAAUGGGUUAGGAAAGUAUAAAAGUUCCAUAGAUAAGGAAUGUUAACAAAAACUCCGAAUACAUCAGUGCUGUAAAAUAUCAGACUAGAAAAUCAUAUCUAUGAGUCAAAAAAACAUACAGUUACACUAAACAGAGAAACAAAACAAAAAUACCUGGUCAAUCGCUUAAGGGUUUUGACGAUUUGACAGAUGAAUCGCACGAAAAAGGAGAGAGGCUCGCAAUCGAUCAGAAAUCGCAGUAGGGUCAGAUUAUCACAGCAGGAGAGAGAGUUUACUCGAAAUCGCAGCAGAUGAUGGAAUCACACAUAGAAGGGUUUGGUUUAGAGGAUUCGCUUGAAAUCGAAAUCGCAGCAGGUUUUAGGAAUCGAAAUCGCAACAGAAAUCGGUUUAGGAACUGAAAUCGCAUUACAUAUCGUAUCAGUCGCAGGGGUUCGCAGCAGUCGCAGAGGUUCGCAACAGUCGCAGCAGAAAUCGGUUUAGGGAGGGAGGGUUUAUGCGAAGUCCAGCAGUCGCAGAGGUUCGCAACAGUCGCAGCAGAAAUCGGUUUAGGGAGGGAGGGAGGGUUUAUGCGAAGUCGCAGGGAGGGUUUAUGCGAAGUGCAGAUCUGAUAUUAGAUAGAGAUCCGCUACUUCAAUUAGCGGAUUUGAGGAGGGCAAAUUAGACUUAAACUUUUGUUUUCAUAGUCCGCCACUUCGUCUAGCGAA